rnacentral:rRNA from 1 species
UGAGGAAUAUUGCACAAUGGGCGAAAGCCUGAUGCAGCGACGCCGCGUGGGUGAAGAAGGUUUUCGGAUCGUAAAACCCUUUUCUGUGUGACGAGAACGGACGGUAGCACAGGAAUAAGUCUCGGCUAACUACGUGCCAGCAGCCGCGGUAAAACGUAGGAGACAAACGUUAUCCGGAGUUACUGGGCGUAAAGGGCGUGCAGGCGGCAGUCUAAGUCUGGCGUGAAAUAUCCCGGCUCAACCGGGGAAGGUCGUCGGAUACUGGGCAGCUAGAGGACGGUAGAGGCGUGUGGAAUUCCGGGUGUAGUGGUGAAAUGCGUAGAGAUCCGGAGGAACACCAGUGGCGAAGGCGACACGCUGGGCCGUACCUGACGCUAAGACGCGACAGCGUGGGGAGCAAACAGGAUUAGAUACCCUUGUAGUCCCUGAGCGGGCUGGCAAGGCGCAU